AGAGUUUGAUCCUGGCUCAGGACGAACGCUGGCGGCGUGCCUAAUACAUGCAAGUCGAGCGAGCUUGCCUAGAUGAUUUUGGUGCUUGCACUAAAUGAAACUAGAUACAAGCGAGCGGCGGACGGGUGAGUAACACGUGGGUAACCUGCCCAAGAGACUGGGAUAACACCUGGAAACAGAUGCUAAUACCGGAUAACAACACUAGACGCAUGUCUAGAGUUUGAAAGAUGGUUCUGCUAUCACUCUUGGAUGGACCUGCGGUGCAUUAGCUAGUUGGUAAGGUAACGGCUUACCAAGGCAAUGAUGCAUAGCCGAGUUGAGAGACUGAUCGGCCACAUUGGGACUGAGACACGGCCCAAACUCCUACGGGAGGCAGCAGUAGGGAAUCUUCCACAAUGGACGAAAGUCUGAUGGAGCAACGCCGCGUGAGUGAAGAAGGGUUUCGGCUCGUAAAGCUCUGUUGGUAGUGAAGAAAGAUAGAGGUAGUAACUGGCCUUUAUUUGACGGUAAUUACUUAGAAAGUCACGGCUAACUACGUGCCAGCAGCCGCGGUAAUACGUAGGUGGCAAGCGUUGUCCGGAUUUAUUGGGCGUAAAGCGAGUGCAGGCGGUUCAAUAAGUCUGAUGUGAAAGCCUUCGGCUCAACCGGUGAAUUGCAUCAGAAACUGUUGAACUUGAGUGCAGAAGAGGAGAGUGGAACUCCAUGUGUAGCGGUGGAAUGCGUAGAUAUAUGGAAGAACACCAGUGGCGAAGGCGGCUCUCUGGUCUGCAACUGACGCUGAGGCUCGAAAGCAUGGGUAGCGAACAGGAUUAGAUACCCUGGUAGUCCAUGCCGUAAACGAUGAGUGCUAAGUGUUGGGAGGUUUCCGCCUCUCAGUGCUGCAGCU
rnacentral:rRNA from 1 species